rnacentral:misc_RNA from 1 species
UUGUGAAAGUUGUCUUAUGAGAGCAAAUUUCUCUGAAGAUUUUCUUUCUGAUUGGAUUGAUUGGAGGCAAAAGAAAGUCAUUGUUUUGGGGUUUGGUAUUCUCAACAAUGGCCUUUCUAUCCGAUCAGAUGAUACUGAUAGCUCUGCUAGCUUUUCCCUUGUAAGGUUAAUGUCCUGUGGCAGUUUAGAAGCUCAGAGAUACACUGCAGAAUGGGACUCUGAGGAGAAGUCAG